AUUGAACGCUGGCGGCAGGCCUAACACAUGCAAGUCGAACGAGCGGCGGACGGGUGAGUAAUGUAUGGGAAUCUGCCCGAUAGAGGGGGAUAACUACUGGAAACGGUGGCUAAUACCGCAUACUAUCGGAUGUACCCAUAUGGGAUUAGCUAGUAGGUGGGGUAAAGGCUCACCUAGGCGACGAUCCCUAGCUGGUCUGAGAGGAUGAUCAGCCACACUGGGACUGAGACACGGCCCAGACUCCUACGGGAGGCAGCAGUGGGGAAUAUUGCACAAUGGGCGCAAGCCUGAUGCAGCCAUGCCGCGUGUAUGAAGAAGGCCUUCGGGUUGUAAAGUACUUUCAGCGGGGAGGCGUUACCCGCAGAAGAAGCACCGGCUAACUCCGUGCCAGCAGCCGCGGUAAUAC
rnacentral:rRNA from 1 species